rnacentral:rRNA from 1 species
GUGUCAGCAGCCGCGGUAAGACAGAGGGUGCAAACGUUGUUCGGAAUUACUGGGCGUAAAGCGCGUGUAGGCGGCUCCGCAAGUCGGGUGUGAAAUCCCAUGGCUCAACCAUGGAAGUGCACUCGAAACUGCGAAGCUAGAGUCCUGGAGAGGAAGGUGGAAUGCUUGGUGUAGAGGUGAAAUUCGUAGAUAUCAAGCGGAACACCGGUGGCGAAGGCGGCCUUCUGGACAGUGACUGACGCUGAGACGUGAAAGCGUGGGGAGCAAACAGGAUUAGAUACCCGGGUAGUCC